rnacentral:rRNA from 1 species
GUACACUCCUGCGGGAGGCAGCAGUGGGGAAUAUUGCACAAUGGGCGCAAGCCUGAUGCAGCCAUGCCGCGUGUAUGAAGAAGGCCUUCGGGUUGUAAAGUACUUUCAGCGGGGAGGAAGGCGAUAAGGUUAAUAACCUUGUCGAUUGACGUUACCCGCAGAAGAAGCACCGGCUAACUCCGUGCCAGCAGCCGCGGUAAUACGGAGGGUGCAAGCGUUAAUCGGAAUUACUGGGCGUAAAGCGCACGCAGGCGGUCUGUCAAGUCGGAUGUGAAAUCCCCGGGCUCAACCUGGGAACUGCAUUCGAAACUGGCAGGCUAGAGUCUUGUAGAGGGGGGUAGAAUUCCAGGUGUAGCGGUGAAAUGCGUAGAGAUCUGGAGGAAUACCGGUGGCGAAGGCGGCCCCCUGGACAAAGACUGACGCUCAGGUGCGAAAGCGUGGGGAGCAAACAGGAUUAGAUACCCCAGUAGUCCCAUGA